CCUAGCAAGAACAAAAACCAAUAACAACAACAAAAACAAACAAUGAACACUGCUGAUCACAUGGCCUACGAGAUUCCAAGAGGGAACUCAGGUCGGCGGCAGCAGCCGCCACCACCACCACAAACUGAAAACUUGGGCUACACGAUUGGAAAAACGAACUCAAAUCCGCCGCCACAGCCGCAGCAGCAGCCACCACCAGCAAAACCUGGAGACAUGGCCUACAACCUAAGAUGAACAUGAAGUCAUCACGUCCAUGAUCACUAAGAAACAGGUCGUACAUGCAUACGUGGAAGUGGGAGCUAUGUAGCUACUAGCUAUUGAAAUUAAAGGAAUAAGCUUACACAGCAGCAGAGAUUAUAGUAUUACUGUUAAUCAAAGAAUAAAGAUCAUCUAUUACUUGGUUAAUUAAUUGUAAUUCGUUACUUCUUGUUCGUUUUGUUAUUAUUAGUGGUCGCUGUAUGUUAUUGCAGCUUUGAACAUUAUACGUCGGUAGAAGGCAACUUUUAUGUGUAAUUAUUAUUAAUGUCUCUGAAAAGUUUAUAUUA